rnacentral:rRNA from 1 species
UCCUACGGGGGGCAGCAGUGGGGAAUAUUGGACAAUGGGCGAAAGCCUGAUCCAGCAAUGCCGCGUGGGUGAAGAAGGUCUUCGGAUUGUAAAGCCCUUUCGACGGGGACGAUGAUGACGGUACCCGUAGAAGAAGCCCCGGCUAACUUCGUGCCAGCAGCCGCGGUAAUACGAAGGGGGCUAGCGUUGCUCGGAUUGACUGGGCGUAAAGGGCGCGUAGGCGGCGGACACAGUCAGGCGUGAAAUUCCCGGGCUCAACCUGGGGGCUGCGCUUGAUACAUGUCUGCUUGAGUUCGGAAGAGGGUCGUGGAAUUCCCAGUGUAGAGGUGAAAUUCGUAGAUAUUGGGAAGAACACCGGUGGCGAAGGCGGCGACCUGGUCCGAUACUGACGCUGAGGCGCGAAAGCGUGGGGAGCAAACAGGAUUAGAUACCCUAGUAGUCC